AUGAUGUUUCCAAUAAGUCUGAUGUUGCUGUUAAGUUUUCUGAGUCAGGAGUCGUUUGCCAACAAGUUUCUGACUCAGAGUGAGAGAGUGAAGUCUGUCAGUGUUGGAGGGACUGUGUCCAUCAGCUCCACAGGAAGUUCAGAUAUUGGUUCUGAUCUCAGUUGGUACCUUCAGAAACCUGGACAGCCUCCCAAACUUCUUAUAUACAGAGUUUCAAAUCUG